rnacentral:lncRNA from 12 species
GGUCAAGAGCCUGGAGGCCUGGGGAGGCCUCUUCUCACAGAAGAAUUGGGCGAGCCUGUUUGCCCCAGAGCGCGCUACUGCUCCUCCCCCGCCCCGCCCCGCCCCCCAAGGUGAACUAAGGUUCUUGUUCCUUUGAUUUCGAUGCCAUUCUGUGUUUCAUGCGCCCGCCCGGCCCCAAGGCGCGGAGUUGAGCCAGGGGAGAAAGAGGGGAAGCGGGGGUGGGGGGGCGCAAACUCUUGCAGCCCGGCAGUGAGGCUGCACUUGACGCCGCGCGGCCCUCCAGCCUGCCUCGCACCCCCUCCGGCGGCCGCCUCCGCGGGCGCGCUCGAGCAUCCGGCUGGAGACUGCGCGGGAGCCCGCCCCCGCGCCCCGCUCAUUGGCCGCGCCGGCCUCUUCGUCACGCUCUUUUGUCUCCGUGCGCAGAGGAUAAAAGCCUCGGCGGCUGCCGUGGGAACCGCGCUGUCGGGACUCGGCUACCCCUCGCCGGGAGGCCGUGCGAAGCAGCUCCCCGGGCAGCUCCCGGUCGCCUGGCGGCCGAGGCCGUGCCCGUGCCUUUUCCCUGCGGGGCCGCGGAGAGCGGAAGGCGGCAUCCAUCGCCCGCAAGGCCUGAGCGUCCGCUGCCCACCGGCCCAGCACAGGCCAUUAAAGCCGGAUGCGAACUUGGAUUCUGUGUGGCUGAUUGCGGAGCUGGUAGGCCGACCAUUUCCCGGGGGAGAUGUCCUGGGGCGGGGGUCGCUUUGGCUCGUCCUCAGAAGGUGGGAGAGGAAUUUUCCGCCCGCCGCCCGCGGAGGCGGCGGCGGGGUGGGGGGGGAGCUGGGGUGGUGCGGGGAGGGAGGGAGGGGGAUGAGGGAUGAGGCCGCUCCUGACCCUGCCCUCCCCUGCCCUCCGCGGCGGCGCAGUCUGGACGCCCCGAGGUCCCGGAUCGGCGACCCCCGGUGGACAGAGAACUAGCGUAGCCGGACGACGAGCUUUCGCACCAAGGCCACCGGUUGCAGAAGCUGGGAGUGAAAUAAAGGCGCGCGCGCCGGGUCCUGCGCUCCUGUA